GCGCGAAAACUUUACAAUGCUGGCAACAGCGAUAAGGGAACCUCGAGUGCCAGGUUACAAAUCUGGCUGUCGAGAUGCCUAAAAAGCAUUUCAUAGCAAGGGCCGGGCAAGACCGGUGCCAGCCGCCGCGGUAACACCGGCGGCUCGAGUGGUAACCGCUAUUCUUGGGUCUAAAGGGUCCGUAGCCGGCCGGAUAAGUCUCUUGGGAAAUCUGGCAGCUCAACUGUCAGGCUUUCAGGAGAUACUGUCUGGCUCGAGGCCGGGAGAGGUGAGAGGUACUUCAGGGGUAGGGGUGAAAUCUUGUAAUCCUUGAAGGACCACCAGUGGCGAAGGCGUCUCACCAGAACGGACCUGACGGCAAGGGACGAAAGCUAGGGGCACGAACCG
rnacentral:rRNA from 1 species